AACGAACGCUGGCGGCAGGCCUAACACAUGCAAGUCGAGCGAGGACUUCGGUCCUAGCGGCGGACGGGUGAGUAACGCGUGGGAACGUGCCCUUUGCUUCGGAAUAGCCCUGGGAAACUGGGAGUAAUACCGGAUGAGCCCUUUUGGGGAAAGAUUUAUCGGCGAAGGAUCGGCCCGCGUUGUAUUAGGUUGUUGGUGGGGUAAUGGCCUACCAAGCCGACGAUCCAUAGCUGGUUUGAGAGGAUGAUCAGCCACACUGGGACUGAGACACGGCCCAGACUCCUACGGGAGGCAGCAGUGGGGAAUAUUAGAAAAUGGGGGAAAACAUGAUCGAGCAAUGCCGCGUGAGAGAUGAAGGCAUUAGGGUUGUAAAGCUCUUUCAGCUGGGAAGAUAAUGACGGUACCAGCAGAAGAAGCCCCGGCUAACUCCGUG
rnacentral:rRNA from 1 species